GACUUCAGAAGCCAUUGUUGGUGCACCGGUGACAGCACUUUGGUCCAUUGCAGAUUGUCCUCCGUCGGUCAUUUCUAUUUUUCUUCUUUAACGAUUUUCACCAAAAGGCGGUUGGUAUUGGAUUUGUGAGUGGCACGGAGUGCUGAAA
ensembl:ncRNA T16A9.6 ncRNA